rnacentral:rRNA from 1 species
AUUGAACGCUGGCGGCAUGCUUUACACAUGCAAGUCGAGCGGCAGCGCGGGGGCAACCCUGGCGGCGAGCGGCGAACGGGUGAGUAAUGCAUCGGAACGUAUCCUCGAGUGGGGGAUAACCCAGCGAAAGUUGGGCUAAUACCGCAUGAGCUCUGAGGAGGAAAGCGGGGGACCUGCGAGGGCCUCGCGCUGGAGGAGCGGACGAUGUCCGAUUAGCUAGUUGGUGGGGUAAAGGCUUACCAAGGCGACGAUCGGUAGCUGGUCUGAGAGGAUGAUCAGCCACACUGGGACUGAGACACGGCCCAGACUCCUACGGGAGGCAGCAGUGGGGAAUUUUGGACAAUGGGGGCAACCCUGAUCCAGCCAUGCCGCGUGAGUGAAGAAGGCCUUCGGGUUGUAAAGCUCUUUCGGACGGAACGAAAUGGGCGGGACUAAUACUCCUGUCUGAUGACGGUACCGUAAGAAGAAGCACCGGCUAACUACGUG